rnacentral:rRNA from 1 species
CAAUAGCGUAUAUUAAAGCUGUUGCGGUUAAAAAGCUCGUAGUUGGAUUUCUGUCAAGGACAACUGGUCCGCCCCUCGGGUGAGCACAUAGUUUGGUCUUGGCAUCUUGUUGGAAACUGUUGCUGCACUUGGUUGUGUGGCGCAGUGUCCAGCACUUUCACUUUGAGGAAAUUGGAGUGUUUCAAGCAGGCACAUGCCUUUGGACACAGUAGCAUGGAAUAAUUAGAUUGGGCUUUUGCUCCAACUUGUCGGUUUCUGGAGCUGAGGUGAGAAUUAAUGGGGAUUGUUGGGGGCAUCCGAAUUUAGCCGUCAGAGGUGAAAUUCUUGGAUCUGCUAAAGACGGACAACUGCGAAAGCGUUUGCCCAGGAUGUUUUCAUUGA